UACGUAGGGGGCAAGCGUUGUCCGGAAUCAUUGGGCGUAAAGCGCGUGUAGGCGGCCAGAAAAGUCCGCUGUGAAAACUCGAGGCUCAACUUCGAGCUGUCGGUGGAAACUUUCUGGCUAGAGUCCGGAAGAGGAGAAUGGAAUUCCUGGUGUAGCGGUGAAAUGCGCAGAUAUCAGGAAGAACACCCGUGGCGAAGGCGGUUCUCUGGGACGGUACUGACGCUGGGACGCGAAAGCGUGGGGAGCGAACAGG
rnacentral:rRNA from 1 species